UGGGAAGUCGUCUAGCGGCAGGACCCUGGAUUCUGGAUCCAGUAACAGAGGUUCGAAUCCUCUCUUCCCAGCCA
rnacentral:tRNA from 1 species